UACGGAGGGUGCAAGCGUUAUCCAGAUUUACUGGGUUUAAAGGGUGUGUAGGCGGGCUUUUAAGUCAGUGGUGAAAUCUCCGGGCUCAACCUGGAAACUGCCAUUGAUACUAUUAGUCUUGAAUUUUGUUGAGGCAGGCGGAAUAAGUCAUGUAGCGGUGAAAUGCAUAGAUAUGACUUAGAACACCAAUUGCGAAGGCAGCUUGCUAAACAAAUAUUGACGCUGAGGCACGAAAGCGUGGGGAUCAAACAGG
rnacentral:rRNA from 1 species